UACGGAAGGGGCUAGCGUUGUUCGGAAUUACUGGGCGUAAAGCGCGCGUAGGCGGCUUACCAAGUUGGGGGUGAAAUCCCGGAGCUCAACUCCGGAACUGCCUUAAAAACUGGUAGGCUCGAGUCCGGAAGAGGGGCGUGGAAUUCACAGUGUAGAGGUGAAAUUGGUAGAUAUUGGGAAGAACACCGGUGGCGAAGGCGGCGCCCUGGUCCGGUACUGACGCUGCGGCGCGAAAGCGUGGGGAGCAAACAGG
rnacentral:rRNA from 1 species